UACAAUAUAGCCUUUUAGUGACACUAUUUAGUGACACGCACAAAAGUGUGAGUCACUAAAGAGUUAAGAGUAAUUUUUAGUGACAUGCACAAUCAGACUCUAAAUAUUUAGGGUUAGUCUCUUGUAAUGUGAGUCACUAAAAAUAUGGAGUGUCACUAUAGAGUAAAACCCAAAAUUAUUUAAUUUUUAUUACUUUAAAAAAUAUUACUCUAUAGUGACAUGCCAAACAUGACUGGGUAAAUAUUUCCCAACGCACCUAGCGUGUCACUAUAUCAUAGUCUUAUUUUUUUUAAUUAAAAAUACAAAUAUUAUUAAUAUGUAAAUAAAAAAUAAAUCAUAAAUAAUAAAAGGAAAUAAAAAAAUAAAAAAGGCAGCUGGUUCUCUUUUUAAUUAAAAAAACCCUAACAUCAUUAACAUUGUUUCUCUCUCAUUCUCGCCUCUCUUUCUCUUUCUUUUUCUCAAUCGAAGCAGUUCCUUGAAGCAACACCACACUUCUCUGCUCCGAUGACCAGCAACACCACACUUCUCUCCCUCCUCAGUCCUCAAAGCCCCAAUCUCUCCUCUCAGAUCGACUUUUUUCUGCCUAGGACGAAGGCCCGAUCUGUCCUCUUCUCAGCGCCGCACCACACUUCCCUUCCCCCCUUUUUUUUCCGUCCGUGGAGCUUCUACUCAGGCCAGAUGGCCCUGCUUCGGUGACCGGCCACCCAAAUCCACCAAAGAUUUGGAAUCCCCGCUCUCAAAAAUCUCAGGUGGACUUGGGCGAUAUAGGGUUUGUUGCCAAGGAUAAGGAUAGUGGAUUGGGUUUGUGGCCGCAGCAGUUAGCAUUUGUUGCCACGUUGUGUAUAUAGAUCUAGAUUUUCUUGCAUUUGUAUUCAUUUAUGUUUGUUCUUGAUAUUGUAGAUAUAUGAAGAUUUUUUUUUUUCGUUAUAAUAAUUUUGUAAUUUUUCUAAAUUUUAGGGUAAUAAAUUUUUGUGUAGAUUUCUCA